rnacentral:rRNA from 1 species
GACGAACGCUGGCGGCGUGCCUAAUACAUGCAAGUCGAACGGUCUUUUCUAUGGAAGCUUGCUUCCGCUGAGAAGAUAGUGGCGAACGGGUGAGUAACACGUGGGUAACCUGCCCAUAAGAGGGGGAUAACAUCCGGAAACGGGUGCUAAUACCGCAUAGUUUUCUUGAUCGCAUGAUUGAGAAAGGAAAGACGGCCUUUGUGCUUUCGCUUAUGGAUGGACCCGCGGCGUAUUAGUUAGUUGGUGAGGUAACGGCUCACCAAGACGAUGAUACAUAGCCGACCUGGGAGGAUGAUCGGCCACAUUGGGACUGAGACACGGCCCAAACUCCUACGGGAGGCAGCAGUAGGGAAUCUUCCGCAAUGGACGAAAGUCUGACGGAGCAACGCCGCGUGAGUGAAGAAGGUUUUCGGAUCGUAAAACUCUGUUGUCAGAGAAGAACAAGUCGGAGAGUAACUGCUCCGGCCUUGACGGUAUCUGACCAGAAAGCCACGGCUAACUACGUGCCAGCCGCCGCAGUAAAAC